rnacentral:rRNA from 1 species
AUUGAACGCUAGCGGGAUGCCUUACACAUGCAAGUCGAACGGAGUGGCGAACGGGUGAGUAAUGUAUCGGAACGUGCCCAGUAGCGGGGGAUAACUACGCGAAAGCGUAGCUAAUACCGCAUACUAUUGGAGCGGCCGAUAUCGGAUUAGCUGGUUGGUGGGGGAACGGCUCACCAAGGAGACGAUCCGUAGCUGGUUUGAGAGGAAGACCAUGCACACGGGGACUGGGACACGGCCCAGACUCCUACGGGAGGCAGGAGGGGGGAAUUUUGGACAAGGGGGGAAACCCUGACCCAGCCAUCGCGCGUGUGCGAUGAAGGCCUGCGGGUUGUAAAGCACUUUUGGCAGGAAAGCGGUACCUGCAGAAUAAGCACCGGCUAACUACGUGCCAGCCGCCGCGGUAAUAC